GGGCUUUACGAGGUCAGUGCUUUUAUGAGGCCUGCACCAUUAUGAGGUUUAUGGGCUUUAUGAAAUGAGUGCCUUUAUGAGGCCUGCACCAUUAUGAGGUGUAUGGGUUUUAUGAGGUCAGUGCUUUUAUGAGGCCUGCACAAUUACGAGGUGGAUGGGCUUUAUGAGGACACAGGCUUUAUGAUGUUUAUGAGGAUAUUGUCUUUAUGAUGAGAA